rnacentral:sRNA from 1 species
GAGACAAAAUUGACUUUUGUGAGACAAAAUUGUCUUUUGAGAGACAAAACUCAAUUUUGUGAGACAAAAAUCAAUAUUCAAUUUUGUCUCACAAAAGUCAAUUUUGUCUCACAAAAGUCAAUUUUGUCUCACAAAAGUC